AGUCGUAACAAGGUUUCUGUAGGUGAACCUGCAGAAGGAUCAUUAGUGAAGAUUUGGGCAGGCCAUACGGACGCCAAAAAGUGUCCCUGGCCGCCUACACCCACUAUACAUCCACAAACCCGUGUGCACUGUCUUGGAGAAAGGCUUCAGAGAAGUUUUUUGUGGCCUCUCUUGGGGUCUUUCUUCGCUACAAACUCGAAUGGUUAGUAUGAACGUGGAACUUGGUCGGACCGUCACUGGCCAACAAACUAUACACAACUUUCGACAACGGAUCUCUUGGUUCUCCCAUCGAUGAAGAACGCAGCGAAACGCGAUAGGUAAUGUGAAUUGCAGAAUUCCGUGAAUCAUCGAAUCUUUGAACGCACCUUGCGCUCUAUGGCAAUCCGUAGAGCAUGCCUGUUUGAGUGCCAUGAAAUCUCCCACCCCAAGCGGUUUUUAAAUGAAACGGCUUGGCGGAUGGGGUCUGGAUGGGUGCCUCUGCCUGCGCUACCUAGCACAGGCUCGCCCGAAAUGCAUGAGCGCCUUGAGACACUUUGCAUCCGCCUCUCUGUUUGGGAGGAGGCGGCCAAGCAGUGUUUUUCUCCUGGCAUGGCAUGAUACGUCAUUUGCUAUGUCGCCUAAAGGAGGAAUGUUUGGUUGUGUCUGCGUGUGCUUCGAACUUGCCUCUGUGGCACAUCCCAAUUUCACUUCUGGUCUCAAAUCAGGUAGGAUCACCCGCUGAACUUAAGCAUAUCAAUAAAGUCG
rnacentral:rRNA from 1 species